CGGAGCUAGCGUGUGGCAGCGGAGCUUAGUGUGCAGCGGGGGCCCUGUUAACUGCUGCAUGGGAAGCAGGAAGGAGUCCCUGCUUCCCCAACAACCAGCCUCCAGGAGCUCCAAGGGAUGUGGAGGUAAGAAGCAGGUCAGUGUGUCUGUGUGUGACUGCCUGUGAGUGUGUGACUGUCUGCCUGUGUGUGUGUGUGUGUGUGUGUCUGCCUGUGUGUGUGUCUGUGUGUGUGACUGUCUGCCUGUGUGUGUGACUGUCUGUGUGUGUAUGUGUGUGUGACUGCCUGUGUGUGUGACUGUCUGUGUGUGACUGUCUGCCUGUGUGUGUGAUUGUGUGUGUGUGACUGUCUGCCUGUGUGUGUGACUGCCUGCCUGUGUGUGUGAUUGUGUGUGUGUGACUGUCUGCCUGUGUGUGUGACUGCCUGUGUGUGUGAC